GCGGUCAUUCCCAAUUUACAAAUAUCACUCUUCGAUCAUCGCCACCGCGAUACAAGAUCGAAUAACCAAAACAAGAAAUAUCAGCGGACUGAUAGUUUUACAUUUUUUUUGUAUGCGUUAAUAAAAUCAAAUAUAUAACAAAUAUAUAAAAUAGGUAAUACUAAAGUAAAUAAGGUUAAUAAAAUUAGACACAAAAUGGAAUGUUUGAUCAUUGCUUUGUGCACUGAGAAGCGUAAAUGCGAAGCAAAAUAUACAGAUACGAAUAGAUUAUAUACAUAAGUCUACUUUGGAUUUUCUCAAACUCUCAGGACGCCACGUAUCAUCGUAAAGCUGAAAGGAGCUUAAUUCAACCCUUUGAUUUGCUGCGGAACUGAAUGCGAAAAGCGAUUCGCUGGGAAAUUAGGAGCGCGACUUUUUGAGGACAUUAUAAGGAAACUUUACGGCUAAUAUAUUUC